GAUGAACGCUGGCGGCGUGCCUAAUACAUGCAAGUCGAGCGAACGGACGAGAAGCUUGCUUCUCUGAUGUUAGCGGCGGACGGGUGAGUAACACGUGGAUAACCUACCUAUAAGACUGGGAUCACUUCGGGAAACCGUAGCUAAUACCGGAUAAUAUUUUGAACCGCAUGGUUCAAAAGUGAAAGACGGUCUUGCUGUCACUUAUAGAUGGAUCCGCGCUGCAUUAGCUAGUUGGUAAGGUAACGGCUUACCAAGGCAACGAUGCAUAGCCGACCUGAGAGGGUGAUCGGCCACACUGGAACUGAGACACGGUCCAGACUCCUACGGGAGGCAGCAGUAGGGAAUCUUCCGCAAUGGGCGAAAGCCUGACGGAGCAACGCCGCGUGAGUGAUGAAGGUCUUCGGAUCGUAAAACUCUGUUAUUAGGGAAGAACAGAUGUGUAAGUAACUGUGCACAUCUUGACGGUACCUAAUCAGAAAGCCACGGCUAACUACGUG
rnacentral:rRNA from 1 species